AUUGAACGCUGGCGGCAUGCUUUACACAUGCCAGUCGAACGGCAGCGCGGGCUUCGGCCUGGCGGCGAGUGGCGAACGGGUGAGUAAUACAUCGGAACGUGCCCAGUAGUGGGGGAUAGCUCGGCGAAAGCCGGAUUAAUACCGCAUACGACCUGAGGGUGAAAGCGGGGGAUCUUCGGACCUCGCGCUAUUGGAGCGGCCGAUGGCAGAUUAGCUAGUUGAUGGGGUAAAGGCCUACCAAGGCGACGAUCUGUAGCUGGUCUGAGAGGACGACCAGCCACACUGGGACUGAGACACGGCCCAGACUCCUACGGGAGGCAGCAGUGGGGAAUUUUGGACAAUGGGCGAAAGCCUGAUCCAGCAAUGCCGCGUGUGUGAUGAAGGCCUUCGGGUUGUAAAGCACUUUUGGCGGGAACGAAAAGGACUGUGCCAAUACCACGGUUCGAUGACGGUACCCGCAGAAUAAGCACCGGCUAACUACGUG
rnacentral:rRNA from 1 species